rnacentral:rRNA from 1 species
AGAGUUUGAUCCUGGCUCAGGACGAACGCUGGCGGCGUGGAUUAGGCAUGCAAGUCGGACGGUAGGGCUUUAUCGUAAGAUAGAGUUUGAGAGUGGCGAACGGGUGAGUAACACGUAGGAAUCUACCCUUAAGACGGGGACAACCCAGGGAAACUUGGGCUAAUACCGGAUGAGAGUGCGAGAGAUUGCAUUUAAAAGGAUGGCGAAAGUUGUCGCUUAGGGAUGAGCCUGCGGUCUAUUAGUUAGUUGGUGAGGUAAGAGCUCACCAAGGCGAUGAUAGAUAGGCGGCCUUAACGGGUGGUCGCCCACACUGGGAUUGAGAUACGGCCCAGACUCCUACGGGAGGCAGCAGUCGAGAAUAGUCUACAAUGGCCGGAAGGCUGAUAGUGCGACGCCGCGUGAACGAGGGAGCCCUUCGGGGUGUAAAGUUCUUUUCUAUACGAGCAGUGCUAUAUAUAUGGAUAGUAUAUAUAGAGGGAUAGUAGUAUAGGAAUAAGCAACGGCUAACUCCGUGCCAGCAGCCGCGGUAACACGGGGGUUGCGAGCGUUGUCCGGAAUUACUAGGCGUAAAGGGCAGGUAGGCGGAUCUACGAGUUUUUUGUUAAAGGCUACGGCUCAACUGUAGUAGAGCAGGAGAUACUGUAGGUCUGGAAUGCGGUAGGGGAAGACAGAAUUCCUGGUGUAGCGGUGGAAUGCGCAGAGAUCAGGAGGAAUACCGAAGGCGAAGGCAGUCUUCUAGGCCGUAAUUGACGCUUAACUGCGAAGGUGUGGGGAUCAAACAGGAUUAGAUACCCUGGUAGUCCACACAGUAAACGAUAAUCACUAGAUGUCGGGUUCUAGAUGGAUUCGGUGUCGGAGCUAACGCGAUAAGUGAUUCGCCUGGGGAGUACG